rnacentral:tRNA from 1 species
GGGAAUUGGCCCGAACCGCCUCGACAAGGCGGGGGUCACUGGUUCGAGUCCAGUAUCGCCCA